GGGCCUAUAGCUCAGUUGGCUAGAGCGCCACGUUUACACCGUGGAUGUCAGGGGUUCGAGUCCCUUUGGGCCCACAA
rnacentral:tRNA from 1 species